UUGUACUGUUGUUCUGAACUAUAAAGCAGUGUGAUUGGUACUUUGACUACUGGGGAAAAGGAACCAAAGUCACAAUAACUUCAGAAGUGCAAGCUCCACCAAAGUCCUUGUUUCCCAUGUGGCAAUGCGGGGAGGAUUCAGGCUUUGUCACCAUCGGCUGUUUGUCCCCCGGCUUGACCUCCCCAGAUGCGAGUUUUAAGUGGUCUGACCCCUGCGGAAAAGCUCUGACUGACUUCAUUCAGUAUCCGGCGGUGAAAGCGGAUGGAGGAUUCACCUUGAUGAGCAGCCUGAAGGUCAAAGCUUGCGACUGGAAUCAGAACAAGAAGUUCAAGUGCGAAGUGUCAAAUGCGAAGGGACCCAAAGAAGGGAUGCUGCAAAGGCUAGUUCCUGUGAAAAUUAUUCCACCACCAGCAAAAGAUCUGUUUAUAUCAAACGAAACAAUAAUUCAGUGUGUAAUUACCACGAAGGAGGUCAUGAAUGAACUCGCGUCAUGGACCAUUAAAGGCCAGAACGCAAAAGGUUCAAAGGUUAAACAUGGAGAGAUUCAGCAGAGAGACCAACAAUUUACCAGGAUCAGUAGUUUGACCAUUAAUAAAACUGAAUGGAUUUCGGGUGAUGAAGUGGUUUGCUCUUUUGGGGAUAAAUCGGACAAAAUCCAGUUUCAGAAAGAAAAGGCUCCUUCUGCUCUCAUUUACACAUCCGAUAUAAAUACCAAUGGAAACAUCACCCUUGUGUGUGAGGUCAGCAGUAAUGGUCCAGCUGAUGUCUAUGUGACGUGGACAGUAAAUAAAAAUCAGUCAAAAGAAUCAAGAGAAUCAAGAAAAUCAAACAGCACAGCGUUUAUCCAGAAAAGUGACGGUUCUGCAUUUGUUCUCAGUUAUUUAAUUGUUUCCAGUGCUGAGUACAACAGCGACUUCAGCUUCGACUGCGAUGUCCAUCACAGUUACAUGAAGACCAGUGUGAUCUCAACAUCCCAAAUUGUGCCUCCAGAUAAAGGUGUGGAUUUACUUCACUGUUCUAAAGAUGAAGGAAUAUUGGAUGAGGAUGAAUUCACCAGUCUGUGGACCACCGCCUCAUCCUUCAUCUUCCUCUUCCUCUUGUCUCUGAUUUACAGCACUGUCCUCAGCCUCAGCAAGAAAAAAUCUUGAACUGAACUGAGGAUUCUGUCACUUUUUCUUCGUCAUUUUCUUUGUCUUUAAUUUUAAUGUGUGUUUAUAAAUGUGUGAUUUUGUUUGACUUAUUACAUGUCCAUAAA